rnacentral:rRNA from 1 species
CCCAAGAGAUCGGGAUAAUACCUGGAAACAGAUGCUAAUACCGGAUAACAACAGAUGAUGCCUAUCAACUGUUUAAAAGAUGGUUCUGCUAUCACUCUUGGAUGGACCUGCGGUGCAUUAGCUAGUUGGUAGGGUAACGGCCUACCAAGGCGAUGAUGCAUAGCCGAGUUGAGAGACUGAUCGGCCACAUUGGGACUGAGACACGGCCCAAACUCCUACGGGAGGCAGCAGGC